rnacentral:rRNA from 1 species
UACGAGGGGGGCAAGCGUUGUUCGGAUUUAUUGGGCGUAAAGGGUGCGUAGGCGGUUUGGCAAGUCUGAUGUGAAAUCUAUGGGCUCAACCCAUAGUCUGCAUCAGAAACUGCCGGGCUUGAGUAUGGGAGAGGUGAGUGGAAUUUCCGGUGUAGCGGUGAAAUGCGUAGAUAUCGGAAGGAACACCUGUGGCGAAAGCGGCUCACUGGACCAUAACUGACGCUGAUGCACGAAAGCUAGGGGAGCAAACAGG